GUUUGAUCCUGGCUCAGGACGAACGCUGGCGGCGUGCUUAACACAUGCAAGUCGAACGAUGAACCACUUCGGUGGGGAUUAGUGGCGAACGGGUGAGUAACACGUGGGCAAUCUGCCCUGCACUCUGGGACAAGCCCUGGAAACGGGGUCUAAUACCGGAUAUUGACCUUCACGGGCAUCUGUGAGGUUCGAAAGCUCCGGCGGUGCAGGAUGAGCCCGCGGCCUAUCAGCUUGUUGGUGAGGUAAUGGCUCACCAAGGCGACGACGGGUAGCCGGCCUGAGAGGGCGACCGGCCACACUGGGACUGAGACACGGCCCAGACUCCUACGGGAGGCAGCAGUGGGGAAUAUUGCACAAUGGGCGAAAGCCUGAUGCAGCGACGCCGCGUGAGGGAUGACGGCCUUCGGGUUGUAAACCUCUUUCAGCAGGGAAGAAGCGAAAGUGACGGUACCUGCAGAAGAAGCGCCGGCUAACUACGUGCCAGCAGCCGCGGUAAUACGUAGGGCGCAAGCGUUGUCCGGAAUUAUUGGGCGUAAAGAGCUCGUAGGCGGCUUGUCACGUCGGUUGUGAAAGCCCGGGGCUUAACCCCGGGUC
rnacentral:rRNA from 1 species